CCCUGUGCAGGCGGGUAUAAGCCCCGUUCUUAUCAUACGA
rnacentral:tRNA from 1 species